rnacentral:rRNA from 1 species
GAUGAACGCUAGCUACAGGCUUAACACAUGCAAGUCGAGGGGUAACGAGAGGAAAGCUUGCUUUCCUUGUCGACGACCGGCGCACGGGUGAGUAACGCGUAUCCAACCUGCCCCCAACUAGGGAAUAACCUUGCGAAAGUAAGACUAAUACCCUAUAAUUUCCUCAGAUGUCAUCUGACGAGGAAUAAAGAUUUAUCAGUUGUGGAUGGGGAUGCGUCUGAUUAGCUUGUUGGCGGGGUAACGGCCCACCAAGGCAACGAGCAGUAGGGGUUCUGAGAGGAAGGUCCCCCACAGUGGAACUGAGACACGGUCCAAACUCCUACGGGAGGCAGCAGUGAGGAAUAUUGGUCAAUGGGCGGAAGCCCGAACCAGCCAAGUAGCGUGCAGGAUGACGGCCCUAUGGGUUGUAAACUGCUUUUAUACAGGAAUAAAGUUAGCCACGUGUGGUUAUUUGUAGGUACUGUAUGAAUAAGGACCGGCUAAUUCCGUGCCAGCAGCCGCAGUAA